GUGGUUUCAGUGGUGGGUGGUACCAGGGAAUUCUCCAGAUGCUUUGGCCUAGUAGUAGAACUGGACACCAGUCAAGUGAGAUGUCCUGUUGUCAGGAGGGUGAAUAGGGAUUGUCUGACAUGACAGACAUUGUGUUAUGUUCUAGGCCAUCUCUGGGAAGCUCACCUCAUCCUGAAAACUUGUAAGGUACCUCCACUAAUGUUCCAUCUAUUUCUAUCCUUAGGUUGUGGGCUAUUCAGGUCAACAACUCCAGAAGCCCCAAUGCAUGAUGACUCAGGGAUGGGAGACAUUCUGCAUGGGACCAGCAUCUAUGUACUGGUGAAGAGAAUUAAGGCUUCUGACUUGAUUGUCCAACACCCUGCUCUUCACCAACCAUGCAUCUCUUUCUGAGAUUGUGGAUGGAUAAAAUGGCCUGAGGAUUUUUGUAAGUCUCCAGUCCUGGUCAGCCUGAACCACUUGAUUAACUAUAUCAAUCACCACAUGGAUUCCUCAGCUAUGGUUGUCCACAUAAAGGAUCUCUUAUCACAGCUGGCAGAGGAAGAAUUCAAGAAUGUAAUUCCUGAAGAAGACAAAGAGGCCUGGGGUUGUUGGGCUCUUCAGGGCAGCAACCCCUGAAUUCCAACCUCAGGAUCAGUCAGGGAAAACAGAAACUCUAAAAAGAUACUAGCUUCUCUGAGAGCAACAUGGAGGUCCAUCACCCCAAGAGGAUAUUACGUUUAUGGAUAAGGCUGCAAAGGAACCAAGUAUACCACAAGCACAUCCAUCGUUUGCUUUUUGUGUGCUUAGAUCAGGUUCUGACCAAAUCCUCCUCUGCUAGGGACCACUGCUGUCUGUCGCAGAGA